AGUCGGAUUUGCUGAUGCAGUGUACACUCACAGAGACUGGGAAGAUAUCACUGGCACGUUUUCCACAUGUGUGGAUGAAGAAGCAAUGUGGAAAUCCAAAGCUGAGUGCUGAUUAUUACCCAUUCUUUUGGCAUGGUCAGAUGUGACAAAGUGUAAAGCUGAUAACUUUUGGAGAAGAAGAAAAACAACACAGCAGAAGGCCGGACAAACGCAACGUAACUGAGGGAGUUCCCUGAAGACAAACAGAACGGAGGAAAACUGCGAGAGAAGCGGAGGAGAUAUAUUGAAGGCAAGAGAGAAGCACUGGAGAUAUUCAGAGGAGUGAAGGAUAGAGAGUCACGUAAAAGCAAGAGAAGACAGAAGAAAAAAAACGUGGCCAAGCAUGAGAGAGGAGGAGCAGUCUAAUGAUGACCACCCUGAGGGAGGGGUGGUUUCCAGCGAGGAAAACACAGGAAGACCACCUUCUAACGCCUGCCCUGUUGUCGUAGCAACACCUGGGGUCACCGGGCGUAAACGGCAGACGGGUUCACAUACGGAGGAUCAACUUACAACAGUUACUCCCACUACAUCAGCACAUGAUGGCAAGGUCAAACCAGGGGAGGACAUCCAGAUCUACACCCUGACCAGACCCAAAAGAGUCAAGAGGAGUCCUCAACAUCGGCCCCCUUCCUCAGGCCCGUCCCUUUCUCCUGGCCAGAGUCCUGGAGAUCUUGAGGACCCACAUGGUCAGAGGGUGAUUGCCAACAUCCGAGAGCGCCAGCGGACACAAUCUCUGAACGACGCCUUUUCCUCGUUGCGUAAAAUAAUCCCAACGCUCCCCUCCGACAAACUGAGCAAGAUCCAGACCCUUAAAUUGGCGUCGCGCUACAUUGACUUUCUAUACCAGGUUCUGGAGAAUGACGAGAUGGACACCAAGCUGGCUGGAUGUAACUACCUGGCCCACGAGAGACUGAGCUACGCGUUCUCUGUCUGGAGGAUGGAGGGGGCCUGGUCGACCAUGUCUGCUGGUCACUAGCCCUGCCUGACGGCAAGGUUUGUCUUUUGACUGUUGCCAUAUAACGUAUGAUGAAUUCCACAUGACAGGGAAAUAUUCUUACUUGACACAGACGGCUGAGGAGACGUCUGAACUGUGUCUGCUCAUCAGUGGACUAUAUAGCACCUCAAUUUAGAUCAUCUGUUUGCUUCAAUGAUGUGUGAGCAGAUUUUUAAGCCACUAUUGUUGUCAAGCUACAUACCAGAUGGAUUUUUGUAAUUCUAUUGUUUUGCUUGCCAAAAGCAGCUAUUACUGCUCAAGUGUGCCAAUGCUAGCAUUCAAGAAAAGUAUCCCAACAGGGACAUUGUGCUCAGUGUAGGAUUCCAAGCUUUUUAAAGAUUUUUUCUCAACGUUUGACUGUUUACAUAGAUCACAAUGGAGGACAGGACAGGUGAAAGAUCAAAAAAACAAACAUUCGGACAUCAUUCAACAUUCAUUCAAUUCAGCAACCUGAUGUUUAAGGACGCAUCGUUCUAAAUGUUGCCUCCACAUGACAGCACUGCUCAUUCUGCUACAGCCCUCUGACCCCUCGGCUUUCAUCUUCACCCUUGAUUUUAUCAUCAUUACUAUCGUCAUCUUCAUAGGUAUGCAUACUUUGAGCCAAAUUUGAACUUUAUUUCUGCCUUGGGCUAGCAAGUGUGUAAAGUUGUGUAUAAAGAGCAUCUAGCAUCUAGAGAAUGCAGAAGAGGGAUUAGAAGAAAGUAAGAACUGGAAAGACAACAUUGGAUAUUCCAAAAAAUGUUGGACCUUUGACUUUUCCGUGCCCUUUCAACUGGUACUUUUCAAAGAUUCUGACAUAUCAUGAAUCCCUGACCACCUCUGAACCCAAGCGACAGUGGAAAAAGUAGACAUGGGCGGGGCAGCCGUCGUCCUAACUUAAGUUUCUCGUCUUUAUACCCAAACCAAGCCCCUUUGUUUCUUCUAGUGCCAAAAAAAACUCUCCUCUUGAAUUCUUUCCUCUCAUUUUGGCACAAAUGUGCUUGCGCUGCACGAAACAGUGAUGCAGCUACAGCGAGCUGACGAGGAGGCGUAAUGAAAACAAACGGUCUCGAAAAAGCCAUGAAUCUUGUGUGUCACCAUCAAAGGGGAGGCUGAUGUGGCUCCCUGCUGGGCUCCCAUAAACCACUGGAAGUGAUGGAGGAGCUGCUGAAUAAAGUGACUGUGAUCUUCGCUGUACGCCUCUGUUCCCCGCUAGCAUCACUGCCACUCUAAUCAUAUGGACUUUGAUGCAAAUGGAACUUUUUAGUUACCUCAUUUUUUGGAGAAAAGGACUGUCCCAGAAUAUUAAAAGGCACCUUCAUCAGGAUGCAGACAGACAUGGGGAAAGAGGACAUUUCUGGAUCAACUAAACCAACAAAGAGCUGGCAUUCAUUGAGAAUACCGUAAAUACAGAAAUGGACAAUAGCUGGACGAGUAUUUCUGUUUAUUUGUUGUGUUUCAAACUUUUUUUCUCUGGAUAUUAUCAAAAGGAAACUUAUAUAAUAUAUGUCACUGCAGUUGAAGCAAUACUUUAAUCUAAGAAAGUGAUUAGUUUGUUCAUCUCUUGUACCCCAGUUUACAGACAGAGUUUUCAGGAGCAUUUACUUGAAGUAUAUUCAGUGCGGUGACACUGAUACAGUAUUAUAAUAUCACAAGCAGAAAGACAUCUCUGGAGAAUUAGAUGUCGUGAUACAUGCAGCACAUGAAUCAUUAUUUGUCUGAAAAAUAAAACU